rnacentral:rRNA from 1 species
GACGAACGCUGGCGGCGUGCUUAACACAUGCAAGUCGAACGGAAAGGCCCUGCUUUUGUGGGGUGCUCGAGUGGCGAACGGGUGAGUAACACGUGAGUAACCUGCCCUUGACUUUGGGAUAACUUCAGGAAACUGGGGCUAAUAACGGAUAGGAGCUCCUGCUGCUUGGUGGGGGUUGGAAAGUUUCGGCGGUUGGGGAUGGACUCGCGGCUUAUUAGCCUGUUGGUGGGGUAGUGGCUUACCAAGGCGUUGACGGGUAGCCGGCCUGGGAGGGUGACCGGCCACAGUGGGACUGAGAAACGGCCCAUACUCCUACGGGGGGCAGCAGUGGGAGAGAGUGCACAAUGGGCGGAGUCCUGAAACAGCAACGCCGGGUGCUGGAUGACGGCCUUCAGGUUGUAAACCGCGUUCGCCUGUGACGAAGCGUGAGUGACGGUAAUGGGUAAAGAAGCACCGGCUAACUACGUG